rnacentral:rRNA from 1 species
UACGUAGGGUGCGAGCGUUAAUCGGAAUUACUGGGCGUAAAGCGUGCGCAGGCGGUUCGUUAAGUCAGAUGUGAAAGCCCCGAGCUCAACUUGGGAACUGCACUUGAAACUGGCGGGCUGGAGUGUGGCAGAGGGGGGUGGAAUUCCACGUGUAGCAGUGAAAUGCGUAGAGAUGUGGAGGAACACCGAUGGCGAAGGCAGCCCCCUGGGCCAACACUGACGCUCAGGCACGAGAGCGUGGGGAGCAAACAGG